UUUACAAGUACCGUGAGGGAAAGUUGCAAAGAACUUUGAAGAGAGAGUUCAAGAGAACGUGAAAUCCUGUUGGUUGAAGCGGAGAGAGUUGACGUAGCUCGGUGGGCUAAGCGCUACUCUACGUGGGUUCGUCCUGCGCGGAGUGCGUGGCGUCUGCUUAUAGCUGCGCUGGCAGCGUUGUCCGAGUUCUCUGACCCGUCUAGUGUUGCCCACUUCGGUGGUGUCUUGCUGGCGGUGAGGUUUGCCGUGUUAACGUUUAGCUUACCUUACGGUGAGUGCCAGUGUGAAGGUCAGCCACCUUUCCGUCCCGUCUUGAAACACGGACCGAGGAGUGUAACUUAUACGCGAGUCAGAGGGUGGUAAACCCAACGGCGCAAUGAAAGUAAAGGUCGGUUUACCGGCUGACAUGGGAUCCGUUCGUAAGAGCGGCGCACCAUGGCCCUGUCUUGAAAGCAUGCUUUUGGGCAGAGGAAGAGCGUAUAGGUUGCGACCCGAAAGAUGGUGAACUAUACUUGAGCAGGACGAAGCCAGAGGAAACUCUGGUGGAAGUCCGUAUCGGUUCUGACGUGCAAAUCGAUCGAUAGACUUGAGUAUAGGGGCGAAAGACUAAUCGAACCAUCUAGUAGCUGGUUCCCUUCCGAA
rnacentral:rRNA from 1 species